rnacentral:rRNA from 1 species
UACGAAGGGGGCUAGCGUUGCUCGGAAUCACUGGGCGUAAAGGGUGCGUAGGCGGGUCUUUAAGUCAGGGGUGAAAUCCUGGAGCUCAACUCCAGAACUGCCUUUGAUACUGAGGAUCUUGAGUUCGGGAGAGGUGAGUGGAACUGCGAGUGUAGAGGUGAAAUUCGUAGAUAUUCGCAAGAACACCAGUGGCGAAGGCGGCUCACUGGCCCGAUACUGACGCCUGAGGCACGAAAGCGUGGGGAGCAAACAGGAUAGAUGA